GGCGCGCUAAUACAUGCAAGUCGAGCGAGAAGACGUAGCAAUACGUUUGUAAAGCGGCGAACGGGUGAGGAAUACAUGGGUAACCUACCCUAGAGUGGGGAAUAACUAGCCGAAAGGUUAGCUAAUACCGCGUACGCUCCUUGGACUUCGGUUCAGGGAGGAAAGCGAUACCGAGGGUAUCGCGCUCUGGAUGGGCUCAUGUCCUAUCAGCUUGUUGGUGAGGUAACGGCUCACCAAGGCUUCGACGGGUAGCUGGUCUGAGAGGACGAUCAGCCACACUGGCACUGCGACACGGGCCAGACUCCUACGGGAGGCAGCAGUAAGGAAUAUUGCGCAAUGGGCGAAAGCCUGACGCAGCGACGCCGCGUGGGGGAUGAAGGUCUUCGGAUUGUAAACCCCUUUCGGGAGGGAAGAUGGAACGAGCAAUCGUUCGGACGGUACCUCCAGAAGCAGCCACGGCUAACUUCGUGCCAGCAGCCGCGGUAAUACGAAGGUGGCAAGCGUUGUUCGGAUUUACUGGGCGUACAGGGAGCGUAGGCGGUUCGGUAAGCCCUCUGUGAAAUCUCCAGGCUUAACCUGGAACAGUCGGAGGGGACUGCUGGGCUAGAGGACGGGAGAGGAGCGCGGAAUUCCCGGUGUAGCGGUGAAGUGCGUAGAGAUCGGGAGGAAGGCCGGUGGCGAAGGCGGCGCUCUGGAACGUUUCUGACGCUGAGGCUCGAAAGCGUGGGGAGCAAACAGGAUUAGAUACCCUGGUAGUCC
rnacentral:rRNA from 1 species